GUUUUAAUAGUUUUAAUAAAAAACAUUGGUCUUGUAAACCAAAAAUAAGAUUAAGUCUUUUAAAACU